GUCUACAUUUGAAAUUCGUGCUGAUAGUCACGUUGCGGUAUGGUAUAAAUAGGCAACAUCAGUAACACGAAUUCAUACGAUCCAAAAGAGUAGAUAAGACGCUAACUAUUUUAAUACACAGUAAAAGACAUUGAAAUUAAACCUGUUGACUGUCGUCUACCUAUAAUUUACAUAGAACGUUGGCUAUUGAUUUGUGUGAAAUCUGCCCCAGGCCCCCCAUUUUUGUAAAAGGUCCAGCUUUCGAGACUCCUGGAAUCCGAAAAAGAAGUUUUCGCGAAUUUGCCGGCCUUUCUGUCCGUCUCUGUGUAUCUGGAUAGUGAAGGAAAUAAGGGUGAAUGGAUGCAGUAAAGGCAGAAAGUGCGGAGAUCGAUUGUAAAGGAAGAAGGGCAACAUCAGUAACACCAAUUCAUACGAUCCAGAAGAGCAGAUAAGACGCCAACUAUUUUAAUACACAGUAAAAGACACUGAAGUUAAAUUUGUUGACUGUCGUCCACCUCUAAUUUACAAAGAACAAUGGCUAGUUGGAUCACCGUGACUCUUUGCUUUAUUUUGAUGACUAUGAUCAUCACUACAGAGGCAGCGACAUACGUAAACUUCCCAGUAAAAUCACCCUGCAGUCCAAGAUGUGACAAGCAGCACACAUGCAAACAGCAAAAUGACCAAUGUAAUCCCGUGAAAAAGCCAUGUAAACCAACUUAUAAAUGCGUUAAAAAAUCAACAGGAAAAGAUUAUUAAUUUCUUUUUCAAUUAUUACAAACUAUGUAACCAAAAAUAAAGUAUUCUAUCUGAUUAA